UGGUGCUUUUCCAUCAUAGAAAUAAUCCACAGAUCCAGCUGUUGAGAAGUUAUCUUUUGCUUGAAAUGAGUUUUGAUACAUUUUCUAUUAAUAAGCAAUCUUAUGAAAUUCAACUUCCUUUGCAUUUCAUAAUGACAAAGAUCCAAUAUAAUGAACAUAUAUUUACUUAUGGGCAAAACUAUCUAGAAUAAACCUACAGACAACAUGAGGAAGUUACAAUAAUGACAUCUUUUUUACCAUAUUAUAAAAAACCCCAAAAGAUCUGAUUACUACUUCUUGUUAAUAACUUUUAAACAAUCUUCAUUCUUGUUGCAGUUCAAAAAUAAUGGUUAAACAUGAAUAUAAUGUGAAUAUAAACACUUCUAAGGAUGUAAGUGAGGCCACUCACAAUGUUUUAACUUGGGCAUGAGUAUUACUGAAUGACAGCCUGAUAGAGUUUCUUGAGGAAUAUUCAUUAUUUAAAUAUCUGGCUAUAAAUAAUACUACUCCCUAGGCACACCACUAUUAAAAAGGCUAAAGAGGAGGUGAACUGCAGCCAGCAUGAAAAAAAAUGAGUAAAGAUAUUAGAAGCAAGAAGAUAUUAUCUAGAAAAAAAAUAAUCUAUUUAAAUACAGGUGAUAGAGACAAUCAUAAAUUUCUGAAUAUUGACAGUAAAAGUAAUGAGGCAGUCUGAGAAUUAAAUAGCAAAAUGAGUAAAAAUGAAUAAUAAAUCUGUUUUCAAACAUACCUAGAGUAGAAAACCUGUCAGAGAAUCUUUUAUCAGUGCAUAAAAGCAAUGUUAAUCAAUUCUUUUGAGCACUGUUCACUUCAGAAGAUACCCACACUAGCAGAGGAUCUGUCUGAAACUGAAACAGCUGUAGAAAAUUUUAAACAAAGCUACACUAAAAAAUUGCUUAGGCCAAAUGUCAUUAAUCCAAGAGGUCUGCGGGACCUGAGAGGUGGAUAGCUGAAGCAAUAAAACACAUAAUUUCUCUUUUAAGGUGCCUUGAUGCUUCUGGCUAAAUGUUGGAAAUAUGAUUUUCUAGUUUAAAGUAUUUAUGGAUUUCUCCUGGAACUGCAGCCCUCUAGUCCCAUUGUUCUAAGUGGAAAUUAGAAGAAACUCUAAGGAAAGAAAAGAACUAGUAGAUACUGACUUAAAAAUAAUCAGUAUGAAAGUUUUGAAGUGACUUACAAAACUAAGUCCUCUUUUAUGAAAGUAGUGGUAUUUAUUGAGCAGUUGAACAGGGGUGAUUUGGUUUCUGCAGUCUUCUUGAAUUCCUGGAAGGCUUUUGAUAUUGCAAGACCAAAGGCUUUUAAGGAAAUGAAGCAAUCAUGGCUCAACUGGUAAAGGAAAUGUUUUCACAACAUUGGGAACACUGGAAUUGUACAGGCAUCUUUGUUGGGACUUAUGCUGUAUCCAUAAACUAUCUCAGAAAAGACUAUAUAAGACAGUAAAAACAUUUUGAUGGUGACAUUAAUUUCUUGUUUUAAGGAAAAAGGCCAUUCUAGAUAGCUGAAGAAGGAUCUCCCUGGCUAAUCAAAAUGUCAGAAGGAACUCAGCAUUGAGAAUGCAUUUGCCAAUGACAAACAAAAACUCAUUCUACAGAUAAAUCAUGUACUCACAGAAUACCUUGGAGAUGAUACUAUCACUCAGGCUGACAGCAACAGUUUUUCUGAAGCAUAGCAGCAGGGAAAAGGCUAACAGUGACAUUCCCAGUUCAUUGGUGUAAGGAACAACGUGCUGGUUUGCAAGAGUAAUUUCUUCUCACUCUUAGACCUGCUUUUAUGUUUAGCAAGGUCUGCUUCCACUUUACUGGUUCCCAGGUAAAGUUUGAAAAUUGUGCAGCAGCAUUUUACAAUCAUUAUUAACAGAAAGUGCUCUUGUUUGUUGUGCUGUGAUAAGCCAGAGUUUUCAGACCUCAUACAGAUCUGGUGCGUGUAGAGAUUAGGGAAACACACUGUGGAAACAAAUUAGAAAUAGCUCACAUGUAGGUAAGCUCAGAACAGUGCUGAGACCCUGCAUUAUCAGGUUAAUAAAAGACUUAUGGCCUUCUUCUAAUAAUAAAGUCAUGUUCACUAUGCUGCAAAAGAAAACAUAUCCAUCUCAGUUCUUGGAAUUAAAAUAGACAAAUAAAAAAAUACAGACAAAA